GCUGGGGUGGUGGAAUUGGUAUACACGUACGCUUGAGGUGCGUAUGCUUCGGCUUGGGAGUUCGAGUCUCCUCUCCAGCA
rnacentral:tRNA from 1 species